rnacentral:tRNA from 1 species
GCUUUUAUAGGAUAUUUAGUUCAUCCGUCGGUCUUAGGAAUCGGAGAUUCUUGGUGCGAGACCAAGUAGAAGCU